rnacentral:rRNA from 1 species
UUAAUUGAAGAGUUUGAUCAUGGCUCAGAUUGAACGCUGGCGGCAGGCCUAACACAUGCAAGUCGAGCGGUAACAGAUUGAUAGCUUGCUAUCAAUGCUGACGAGCGGCGGACGGGUGAGUAAUGCCUGGGAAUAUACCUCAGUGUGGGGGAUAACUAUUGGAAACGAUAGCUAAUACCGCAUAAUCUCCGAUCUUUUACGAGAUGGGAGCAAAGAGGGGGACCUUCGGGCCUCUCGCGCUGAGAUUAGCCCAGGUGGGAUUAGCUAGUUGGUGGGGUAAUGGCUCACCAAGGCGACGAUCCCUAGCUGGUCUGAGAGGAUGAUCAGCCACACUGGAACUGAGACACGGUCCAGACUCCUAC